UAGGGAAUCUUCCACAAUGGACGCAAGUCUGAUGGAGCAACGCCGCGUGAGUGAAGAAGGCUUUCGGGUCGUAAAACUCUGUUAUUGAAGAAGAACGUGCGUGACAGUAACUGGUCAUGCAGUGACGGUAUUCAAUCAGAAAGUCACGGCUAACUACGUGCCAGCAGCCGCGGUAAUACGUAGGUGGCAAGCGUUGUCCGGAUUUAUUGGGCGUAAAGCGAGUGCAGGCGGUCUUUUAAGUCUGAUGUGAAAGCCUUCGGCUUAACCGAAGAA
rnacentral:rRNA from 1 species